rnacentral:rRNA from 1 species
UACGGGGGGAGCAAGCGUUGUUCGGAUUUACUGGGCGUAAAGGGCGCGUAGGCGGUCAGCACAAGUCAGUUGUGAAAUCUCCGGGCUUAACUCGGAAAGGUCAACUGAUACUGUGCGACUAGAGUGCAGAAGGGGCAACUGGAAUUCUCGGUGUAGCGGUGAAAUGCGUAGAUAUCGAGAGGAACACCUGCGGCGAAGGCGGGUUGCUGGGCAGUUGCUGACACUGAGGCGCGACAGCGUGGGGAGCAAACAGG